ACAACACCCCCUAUCUCCUCACCUCUCUCUCGCUCAUCUCCCCCCUCUCUCUCCAGCAGGUGGCCGACACCACUCCAGGUGGCGGCGGCGCCAGCUUCUCGGCGGCAACGACGAACACAGAAGGUCGACGAAGGUUUGAGCGGCGGUGGCGGUGGUAGAUCGGAACGACGGGCGGCGGCUCGAUGGUUCAGGUUCGAGUUCAGACACGUUCCUGUUUCGGGUCGCGAUUCGGGUUUCGAGUUUAAUCGGUUCAGGUCAUCGGAGCUCCGGCCCGGCUGACAAUGGCAACGGAUUCAGGUCUCAGUUCGGUUGAAUCGGGUGGCUCGGGAUCGAGCCUGGGUUUGAUUCGGUUCCGUUUCCGUUCUCUUGAAUCGGGUGGCUCGGGAAGGUUUGAAAAUUCAGAUGGAGGCGUUGGGAGAUACAGAUCCCAGAGUCGCUAAGACUUGCAGAUACUUAGCUGAGGCUCUUGUUCAAGCAAUGCAAUUUGAUGAAGCAGAUACCUUAUGCAAAAGAACCCUUGAAAUCCACAGAAUACACAGUGCACCUGCAUCACUUGAAGAAGCAGCUGAUAGACGAUUAAUGGCCCUCGUAUGUUUUGUCGCUGAUUGGUGACUUGCUAUUGUUGUUUGUUGAUGUUUGUUAAUCAGGCUGCUGACAUUACCGACCGACUCCAACGACAUCGAAAGGUUGUAGGACUAUGACGACCGACUCCAACGACAUCGAAAGAUCUGUGGUGGUCCCCUUGUCACGGAAUUAUCGACUUCAACCGCUGUAUAAACAUGGGCUCUACCUUAAGGGGCUUAUGGGUAUUAUUGAAAAUUGAAGGUUUCUUUUAACAAAAUUGGACAUGUAUCUCAUUUUAAAACCCCGGUUAAACCGAAUGCAAGAAAAUGCCCGGUUUCUUCUGAUGAACCGGAGACUACAGUUUCAGAUGAUGACUCGUCUUCUGAUGAAUCGGGGACUAUAGUUUCAGAUGAUGACGCUUCUUUGUGGUUGAGUGAAGAUCAAGAACAUGGGAUCAAGAUUAAGGAUGAAUGUGAAUGUUCAAGUAAAGCAGGGGAGAUUGAAAAGGGUAAAGCUGAUUUCAAAAGUGAUAAACCCUUCAUGGUUUAUAUAAAUCAAUCACAUCUUACUAAUCGCGGAGUGUAUCUACCAGCGGAGUUCAGAAAGAAGUUCUCGAGGGGUCACAAGAGCGAUCACAAAUGUUCGCUUCAACCUUGGAGUUUGGUGGAUGUGGUAAUGGUCGCAAGCUCACAACUGAUGUGUAUUUAACCAUGUUCUUUGAAAUGACAGUUCUUAAUAUAUUAGUUUGAGUUGGAACUAACUUUGUGGUUUAAAUUUGUAUUUUGUUGAAGUUAUUUGUAUGUUUUAUUGUUAAAUUCUUGAGCUUGAGUUGGAUGUCUUGAAUAAUA